CUGACGAAUCAGCAGUCGGCAUUGUUUCACGUCACAUUUUAGUAUCUCCAUAGCUCGCGCAGAAACUCGCGGAAUGUGAUACAAAAAAGUACCCGAAAUCUUUUACACAGUGGAAAACAAAGAUCACAUCAUCAUUGAAGCUCCACCCACUGUAAUUCAUCAUCAGUGAAGCUCCUCCCACUGCAAUUAUCUAAUAAAUGCUGUUCCAUCAGCUACAAGUGAAAGAAGAACCACAUGUACAAGUAAGAGAAUCAGAGCAUCAGGAAGAGCUGAAAUCUGUAAAGAUUGAGUUUAUUAAAGAGGACAGUGAGAACACGAGUGAUCCAGAACCCUGCAGAAUGAAACACACUGAAGAUCCUGACAAACAAAGAGCCAGAGUCGGGCAGAGAGAACCAGUUAUCCGCAAGUGAGAUAAUCGGUGAAGUGUGUUCAUGACCUGAUGAAAGUGAAGGAGAGAGAAGAACUGGUGGAAG